AGGAAGAGCCAAGAAAGAGUUGAUGUAUUAAUAUUAUGCCUCAACAUUAACAACCCAGGAGAGAACAUUCUCAGCACUGUUCAUUGGUUUGGGGCUGCUCUGUGGAAUGGUCUCAAGGCCAACACAACACAUGAUUUUGUCAUCUUCUUCUUCUGGUCAUAAUCUACUAUUUUUAAUUGUUUUCAUUUUUUUUGUUGGAUUUAAAUUAAAUGUUUGAUUGGAAGGUUUGGUUUAGUUGGCCAAAAAAUAUGAGUUUUGAAUGGGAAAGAAGGAGUUGGGGUAUUGUAUGCAGUUGUGGGUGAUAUUGUGGAAGAGACGUAGGAAGAAUUGGAUGGAUUUGAGAGCGAGUCUUUCUUUUCUACAAUUUUGUUGAUUAUGCAUUUGAUAGAAGUUUCAAUGUUGAUGACGAUAUUGGAUAAUGG
rnacentral:lncRNA from 1 species